rnacentral:rRNA from 1 species
GAUGAACGCUGGCGGCGUGCUUAACACAUGCAAGUCGAACGAAGCACUAUACCUUGAUUCCUUCGGGUUGAUUGGUACUGUGACUGAGUGGCGGACGGGUGAGUAACGCGUGGGUAACCUGCCCUAUACAGGGGGAUAACAGAUAGAAAUGUCUGCUAAUACCGCAUAAGACCACAGCACCGCAUGGUGCGGGGGUAAAAACUCCGGUGGUAUAGGAUGGACCCGCGUCUGAUUAGCUGGUUGGUGAGGUAACGGCUCACCAAGGCAACGAUCAGUAGCCGACCUGAGAGGGUGACCGGCCACAUUGGGACUGAGACACGGCCCAA